rnacentral:rRNA from 1 species
GACGAACGCUGGCGGCGUGCUUAACACAUGCAAGUCGAACGACGUGGCGAACGGGUGAGUAACGCGUAAUCAACCUGCCCUUCAGAGGGGGACAACAGUUGGAAACGACUGCUAAUACCGCAUACUUACGGAGGGAAUUGCGUCUGAUUAGCUAGUGGGAGUGGUAACGGCCCAUCAAGGCGAGGAUCAGUAGCCGGGCUGAGAGGAUGAACGGCCAAAUUGGGACUGGUACAAGGCCCAGACGUCUACGGGAGGCAGCAGGGGGGAAUAUUCCGCAAUGGACGAAAGUCUGACGGAGAAACGCCGCGUGAGUGAUGACGGCCUUCGGGUUGUAAAGCUCUGUUAAUCGGGACGCGGUACCGGAAUAGAAAGCCACGGCUAACUACGUGCCAGCAGCCGCGGUAAUAC